rnacentral:rRNA from 1 species
GAUGAACGCUGGCGGCGUGCUUAACACAUGCAAGUCGAACGGGAAACCUUUUAUUGAAGCUUCGGCAGAUUUAGAUUGUUUCUAGUGGCGGACGGGUGAGUAACGCGUGGGUAACCUGCCUUAUACAGGGGGAUAACAGUCAGAAAUGACUGCUAAUACCGCAUAAGCGCACAGGACCGCAUGGUCCGGUGUGAAAAACUCCGGUGGUAUAAGAUGGACCCGCGUUGGAUUAGCUUGUUGGCAGGGUAACGGCCUACCAAGGCGACGAUCCAUAGCCGGCCUGAGAGGGUGAACGGCCACAUUGGGACUGAGACACGGCCCAGACUCCUACGGGAGGCAGCAGUGGGGAAUAUUGCACAAUGGGGGAAACCCUGAUGCAGCGACGCCGCGUGAAGGAAGAAGUAUCUCGGUAUGUAAACUUCUAUCAGCAGGGAGGAAAAUGACGGUA